GUGGGGAAUAUUGGACAAUGGGCGCAAGCCUGAUCCAGCCAUGCCGCGUGAGUGAUGAAGGCCCUAGGGUUGUAAAGCUCUUUCACCGGUGAAGAUAAUGACGGUAACCGGAGAAGAAGCCCCGGCUAACUUCGUGCCAGCAGCCGCGGUAAUACGAAGGGGGCUAGUGUUGUUCGGAAUUACUGGGCGUAAAGCGCACGUAGGCGGGUAUUUAAGUCAGGGGUGAAAUCCCGGAGCUCAACUCCGGAACUGCCUUUGAUACUGGGUACCUAGAGUAUGGAAGAGGUAAGUGUAAUUCCGAGUGUAGAGGUGAAAUUCGUAGAUAUUCGGAGGAACACCAGUGGCGAAGGCGGCUUACUGGUCCAUUACUGACGCUGAGGUGCGAAAGCGUGGGGAGCAAACAGGAUUAGAAACCCCUGUAGUCC
rnacentral:rRNA from 1 species